rnacentral:rRNA from 1 species
GACAGAGGUGCCAAGCGUUGUUCGGAAUUACUGGGCGUAAAGCGCGCGCAGGCGGUCUUCCAAGUCAGUGGUGAAAGCCCGGAGCUCAACUCCGGAACUGCCAUUGAAACUGUGAGACUUGAGGAUGAGAGAGGUGAGUGGAAUUCCCAGUGUAGAGGUGAAAUUCGUAGAUAUUGGGAAGAGCACCGGUGGCGAAGGCGGCUCACUGGCUCAUUUCUGACGCUCAGGCGCGACAGCGUGGGGAUCAAACAGG